CAGUGACUCAGGUUAACACUAAACUUUAAACAGUCCCUCUGUGUCUCUGUGUGUGCUGAACAUUUAGGAUUAAGUCAGGCUGCAUCAGCUGAAUGUGUUAUAUGUAAUUAUCAGUAUUUUUUAAUUCAGGUGUGGGGAAAAUACGUAAGAUUACAGUGAAGAGAUGUACCAGAUUAAUCCCUGGCCAAAGUCCUCUGACAGACUGGUACCUGUCCAGGUGUGCUCUACCUAUGACUACUGGGACAGGCUCUAAUAGAAAGUUUCUAUUAUUCUCAUUUAAGAACAGUUCUCCACAGUCACUGUCUACAUGGGUCAGUGGGACCAAGAAGCACUCUGCUAAUGUGUGGACUCUGACCAGCAACAUCCAGCAAGACCCAGGCAGCGUUUUCUAUCUCCCAGCUGGAGUUUUUUGUUUGUGACGGGAGAGUCAGAUUUUUGUUGAGGCUGGAGGAACAGCCUCACACUUGCAGAGGUUAAUACAUGCUACUGAUCCCUGAUGGGAGAAUCUUCACCUCUGCCAACAAAGAAGCCUGGUGGAUAUUUGUUUACAGACUGAUGAUGGGACAUCAUGCUCUGCAUCUUCAAAGUUUGUCUCUUGCUUAUUAUUGAUACACAGUAAUGUGAAGUAUGCUUAUAUCUAGUAUAACUGGACCAACCUGGUGCUCUUCAUUUAUGGAGGCUGUUGAGUCUGAAAGUUGGAUGUUGUGUAUCUCGUGUUCUCUGGGCUUUGUUGUCCUCAGUCUUUUUGCAGGAUCAGAAAACAAAACCAGGAGGCGCGUAAAUGUUUCUUCUCCAAUUGGAUGAUGAUAAGACUGUGACACGGGAUGCCACCUUUAGUCUUGUGAUGAAGCAAAGCUCAGGAAGAAGUGUGAUUAAAUGGUACCCACAUGUGUGCUGCUGAGAAGGAUGUACAGGGGCACCUGCAGCCAAAUCCAAGCCGCCUCAGAUGGUGAUGGUGUGGAGAGAUGGUGGUGUUUCCUCAGAAGAACUAGCAGUGUCACAAAGGGCACGAGUCCUUCUCACCACCUUGACUUGCUGACUGAUGCUCGUCUGCACUGCACAGAGGAAAUCAACUAACUGAGGAGUGUUUCUGAGUGAGGGAGAGAGGAGUCAUCAUCCAGGUAAAGUGAUGUGGAUCAGUGGAUACACUUGUCUCCCCUUUAAAGAAGAUACUCUUAGAGAGAGACGAUCCGAGUCAUCCUUAAAUAUGGGAAGGAUAUCAAUCUUGGACUGUCUAACCUGCAGGAGCAGCACUGAAUAACCACCACACAUGAGCAUGUUCCUGCAACAUUCAGCAGCUCUGCUUUUGGUAAGUAGA